UAGGGAAUCUUAGACAAUGGGGGCAACCCUGAUCUAGCCAUGCCGCGUGUGUGAUGAAGGCCCUAGGGUCGUAAAGCACUUUCGCCAGAGAUGAUAAUGACAGUAUCUGGUAAAGAAACCCCGGCUAACUCCGUG
rnacentral:rRNA from 1 species